rnacentral:rRNA from 2 species
UUAAGCGACUAAGCGUACACGGUGGAUGCCCUGGCAGUCAGAGGCGAUGAAGGACGUGCUAAUCUGCGAAAAGCGUCGGUAAGGUGAUAUGAACCGUUACAGCCGGCGAUGUCCGAAUGGGGAAACCCAGUGUGAUUCGUCACACUAUCGUUAACUGAAUACAUAGGUUAACGAGGCGAACCGGGGGAACUGAAACAUCUAAGUACCCCGAGGAAAAGAAAUCAACCGAGAUUCCCCCAGUAGCGGCGAGCGAACGGGGAGCAGCCCAGAGUCUGAAUCAGCUUGUGUGUUAGUGGAACGGUCUGGAAAGUCCGACGGUACAGGGUGAUAGUCCCGUACACCAAAAUGCACAGGCUGUGAACUCGAAGAGUAGGGCGGGACACGUGGUAUCCUGUCUGAAUAUGGGGGGACCAUCCUCCAAGGCUAAAUACUCCUGACUGACCGAUAGUGAACCAGUACCGUGAGGGAAAGGCGAAAAGAACCCCGGCGAGGGGAGUGAAAAAGAACCUGAAACCGUGUACGUACAAGCAGUGGGAGCACCUUCGGGUGUGACUGCGUACCUUUUGUAUAAUGGGUCAGCGACUUAUAUUCUGUAGCAAGGUUAACCGUAUAGGGGAGCCGCAGGGAAACCGAGUCUUAACUGGGCGUUAAGUUGCAGGGUAUAGACCCGAAACCCGGUGAUCUAGCCAUGGGCAGGUUGAAGGUUGGGUAACACUAACUGGAGGACCGAACCGACUAAUGUUGAAAAAUUAGCGGAUGACUUGUGGCUGGGGGUGAAAGGCCAAUCAAACCGGGAGAUAGCUGGUUCUCCCCGAAAGCUAUUUAGGUAGCGCCUCGUGAAUUCAUCUUCGGGGGUAGAGCACUGUUUCGGCUAGGGGGUCAUCCCGACUUACCAACCCGAUGCAAACUACGAAUACCGAAGAAUGUUAUCACGGGAGACACACGGCGGGUGCUAACGUCCGUCGUGAAGAGGGAAACAACCCAGACCGCCAGCUAAGGUCCCAAAGUCACAGUUAAGUGGGAAACGAUGUGGGAAGGCACAGACAGCCAGGAUGUUGGCUUAGAAGCAGCCAUCAUUUAAAGAAAGCGUAAUAGCUCACUGGUCGAGUCGGCCUGCGCGGAAGAUGUAACGGGGCUAAACUGUGCACCGAAGCUGCGGCAGCGACACUAUGUGUUGUUGGGUAGGGGAGCGUUCUGUAAGCCUGCGAAGGUGGCCUGUGAGGGUUGCUGGAGGUAUCAGAAGUGCGAAUGCUGACAUAAGUAACGAUAAUGCGGGUGAAAAGCCCGCACGCCGGAAGACCAAGGGUUCCUGUCCAACGUUAAUCGGGGCAGGGUGAGUCGACCCCUAAGGCGAGGCCGAAAGGCGUAGUCGAUGGGAAACAGGUUAAUAUUCCUGUACUUGGUGUUACUGCGAAGGGGGGACGGAGAAGGCUAUGUUAGCCGGGCGACGGUUGUCCCGGUUUAAGCAUGUAGGCGGAGGUUCCAGGUAAAUCCGGUACCUUUUUAACGCUGAGGUGUGAUGACGAGGCACUACGGUGCUGAAGUAACAAAUGCCCUGCUUCCAGGAAAAGCCUCUAAGCAUCAGGUAACAUUAAAUCGUACCCCAAACCGACACAGGUGGUCAGGUAGAGAAUACCAAGGCGCUUGAGAGAACUCGGGUGAAGGAACUAGGCAAAAUGGUGCCGUAACUUCGGGAGAAGGCACGCUGAUAUGUAGGUGAAGCCCCUGCGGGUGGAGCUGAAAUCAGUCGAAGAUACCAGCUGGCUGCAACUGUUUAUUAAAAACACAGCACUGUGCAAACACGAAAGUGGACGUAUACGGUGUGACGCCUGCCCGGUGCCGGAAGGUUAAUUGAUGGGGUUAUCCGUAAGGAGAAGCUCUUGAUCGAAGCCCCGGUAAACGGCGGCCGUAACUAUAACGGUCCUAAGGUAGCGAAAUUCCUUGUCGGGUAAGUUCCGACCUGCACGAAUGGCGUAAUGAUGGCCAGGCUGUCUCCACCCGAGACUCAGUGAAAUUGAACUCGCUGUGAAGAUGCAGUGUACCCGCGGCAAGACGGAAAGACCCCGUGAACCUUUACUAUAGCUUGACACUGAACAUUGAGCCUUGAUGUGUAGGAUAGGUGGGAGGCUUUGAAGCGUGGACGCCAGUCUGCGUGGAGCCAACCUUGAAAUACCACCCUUUAAUGUUUGAUGUUCUAACGUUGGCCCCUUAUCGGGGUUGCGGACAGUGUCUGGUGGGUAGUUUGACUGGGGCGGUCUCCUCCCAAAGAGUAACGGAGGAGCACGAAGGUUAGCUAAUCCUGGUCGGACAUCAGGAGGUUAGUGCAAUGGCAUAAGCUAGCUUGACUGCGAGCGUGACGGCGCGAGCAGGUGCGAAAGCAGGUCAUAGUGAUCCGGUGGUUCUGAAUGGAAGGGCCAUCGCUCAACGGAUAAAAGGUACUCCGGGGAUAACAGGCUGAUACCGCCCAAGAGUUCAUAUCGACGGCGGUGUUUGGCACCUCGAUGUCGGCUCAUCACAUCCUGGGGCUGAAGUAGGUCCCAAGGGUAUGGCUGUUCGCCAUUUAAAGUGGUACGCGAGCUGGGUUUAGAACGUCGUGAGACAGUUCGGUCCCUAUCUGCCGUGGGCGCUGGAGAAUUGAGGGGGGCUGCUCCUAGUACGAGAGGACCGGAGUGGACGCAUCACUGGUGUUCGGGUUGUCAUGCCAAUGGCAUUGCCCGGUAGCUAAAUGCGGAAGAGAUAAGUGCUGAAAGCAUCUAAGCACGAAACUUGCCCCGAGAUGAGUUCUCCCUGAGACUUAAAGUCUCCUGAAGGAACGUUAAAGACGAUGACGUUGAUAGGUCGGGUGUGUAAGCGUAGCGAUACGUUGAGCUAACCGAUACUAAUGAACCGUGAGGCUUAACCUU